GAGCCUACUUAAAGUAUGGACACGUGGAGAGUAGAAAUGUUAAUGUCUUGGCCAGGAUAAGAUAAAGAUGGAGAUGAUGGCAGUGGAAGUGGAGAACUGAUUCUAGAACCCAGGCUUCGGCUCCAACCAUCAGCAUCCUUAAGGGUCCCAGCAUCCCUUUCUCACAAUAGAAGACUGGAAUUGGAAACUCAUGAAUUUUGGUUGGAAACUUCUCCAAGAGAUACUGAUUAGGGCUAAGGACAUCUUAAUUUAUAAAACUAUAUGUUUUCCUGAUGCAAUUGGCAGCUUCUUCCAUCAAGAUAGAGCAAGAGAUCAUUGCUCCUCUUCCAAUGUAUCUUUACAACUUUUCAGGAGAAAUACUGAAAAACUUUGGAUGCACAACCCAAAGUUGAACACUGAGUAACUUUCUGCAUAAUUAAGGCAAGUGUAUUGUUUACUAUUUUAAACCCAGCUUAGCUGGGAUAUGUCCUAAGUAGUUCAGCAUCCUGUUUGCAAGAAUGAACAGAGCCGUCCAUCAGCUCCACUGAUGGCAAAGUGUACAGCAGUAAAAUGCUCAGCCAAGAUAGCCAGAAGCCAACCUCAACUCCACCUCAUCAGCAACAGACACAUAAUCCAAAAUCAACUUUCAAGCAUUUCAUUUUUACCUGGACUAGAACCAGGGAGAUGGGAAUAUGCUCAUUCAACAAUAGUCCUUGAGAAUCUCGCCUGCAUACUUCAUUGAAUUUAUAUCAUCACUGGUUGUUAAGAAGCCAUUAUUUUAAUAUCACCAUGGAGAAAGCACUGCCAAUUAAACAAUGACAGGUCAUCAAUUGUAAUAUGUGACUCUCAUUUCCUAGUUGUUAAAAUGUUAGAAUUGAAGCAUAUCUGAGAGUCCAGGAAAAAUGGUGUGAACCAAGCAUGGUUCUCCGGGACCCAGCAAUGAACAAGACCAAAAAAGCUCCUGCCUCAUUGAGCUCUCGGCCAGGGGAGCCUCAUCUGGAAUCGAAGAGAAUGAGCACAGCAGCCAGCAGGACUCAGUUCCUGGUUGUAUAUAGCUAUA